CCUACGGGAGGCAGCAGUGGGGAAUCUUGCGCAAUGGGCGAAAGCCUGACGCAGCCAUGCCGCGUGAAUGAUGAAGGUCUUAGGAUUGUAAAAUUCUUUCACCGGGGACGAUAAUGACGGUACCCGGAGAAGAAGCCCCGGCUAACUUCGUGCCAGCAGCCGCGGUAAUACGAAGGGGGCUAGCGUUGCUCGGAAUUACUGGGCGUAAAGGGAGCGUAGGCGGAUAGUUUAGUCAGAGGUGAAAGCCCAGGGCUCAACCUUGGAAUUGCCUUUGAUACUGGCUAUCUUGAGUAUGGGAGAGGUAUGCGGAACUCCGAGUGUAGAGGUGAAAUUCGUAGAUAUUCGGAAGAACACCAGUGGCGAAGGCGGCAUACUGGCCCAUUACUGACGCUGAGGCUCGAAAGCGUGGGGAGCAAACAGGAUUAGAUACCCUGGUAGUCCACGCUGUAAACGAUGAGUGCUAGUUGUCGGCAUGCAUGCAUGUCGGUGACGCAGCUAACGCAUUAAGCACUCCGCCUGGGGAGUACGGUCGCAAGAUUAAAACUCAAAAGUAGUAAGUUAGACCGGUCGUAGAGACGCGACGACGACGACGACGAGGGAGGAGG
rnacentral:rRNA from 1 species